AUGGUUAAGUUAGAAAGGGCGCACGGUGGAUGCCUUGGCACUAGGAGCCGAAGAAGGACGGCACUAACACCGAUAUGCUCCGGGGAGCUGUAAGUGAGCUUUGAUCCGGAGAUUUCCGAAUGGGGGAACCCACCGCCUUUAAUGGGGCGGUAUCCAUGUGUGAAUUCAUAGCACAUGAGAAGGCAGACCCAGGGAACUGAAACAUCUAAGUACCUGGAGGAACAGAAAGCAAAUGCGAUUCCCUGAGUAGCGGCGAGCGAAACGGGAUCAGCCCAAACCAAGAGGCUUGCCUCUUGGGGUUGUAGGACACUCAAUACGGAGUUACAAAAGAAGCGGUUAGGCGAAGCGACCUGGAACGGUCCGCCACAGUGGGUAACAGCCCCGUAGCCGAAAAUCGCUUCCCUCCUGAGUGGAUCCUGAGUACGGCGGAACACGUGAAAUUCCGUCGGAAUCCGGGAGGACCAUCUCCCAAGGCUAAAUACUACCUAGUGACCGAUAGUGAACCAGUACCGUGAGGGAAAGGUGAAAAGCACCCCGGAAGGGGAGUGAAACAGAUCCUGAAACCGUGUGCCUACAACUAGUCAAAGCCCGUUAAUGGGUGAUGGCGUGCCUUUUGUAGAAUGAACCGGCGAGUUACGAUUGCAUGCAAGGUUAAGGUGAGAAGCCGGAGCCGCAGCGAAAGCGAGUCUGAAUAGGGCGAAUGAGUAUGCAGUUGUAGACCCGAAACCAGGUGAUCUACCCAUGUCCAGGGUGAAGGUAAGGUAACACUUACUGGAGGCCCGAACCCACGCACGUUGAAAAGUGCGGGGAUGAGGUGUGGGUAGCGGAGAAAUUCCAAUCGAACCUGGAGAUAGCUGGUUCUCUCCGAAAUAGCUUUAGGGCUAGCCUCAAGAUAGAGAAUCCUGGAGGUAGAGCACUGUUUGGACUAGGGGCCCAUCCCGGGUUACCGAAUUCAGACAAACUCCGAAUGCCAGUGAUUUAUGCUUGGGAGUCAGACUGCGAGUGAUAAGAUCCGUAGUCAAGAGGGAAACAGCCCAGACCACCAGCUAAGGUCCCCAAAUAUCCGUUAAGUGGAAAAGGAUGUGGCGUUGCUUAGACAACCAGGAUGUUGGCUUAGAAGCAGCCAUCAUUUAAAGAGUGCGUAAUAGCUCACUGGUCGAGUGACACUGCGCCGAAAAUGUACCGGGGCUAAACGGAUUACCGAAGCUGUGGAUGGACAUCAACGAUGUCCGUGGUAGGAGAGCGUUCUAAGGGCGUCGAAGCGGGACCGGAAGGAUCCGUGGAGCGCUUAGAAGUGAGAAUGCCGGUAUGAGUAACGAAAGACGGGUGAGAAUCCCGUCCACCGAAUGCCUAAGGUUUCCUGAGGAAGGCUCGUCCGCUCAGGGUCAGUCGGGACCUAAGUCGAGGCCGAUAGGCGUAGACGAUGGACAACAGGUUGAUAUUCCUGUACCACCUCCCCGCCGUUUGAGCAAUGGGGGGACGCAGAAGGAUAAGGCGAGCGCGCCGUUGGUUGAGCGCGUCCAAGCAGCAAGGUGGGAAACGAGGCAAAUCCCGUUUCCAU
rnacentral:rRNA from 2 species